UGACAUUCUUGAGUCCAGUCUGUAGGAGGU
rnacentral:piRNA from 1 species